CCUACGGGUGACAGCAGUAGGGAAUCUUUCACAAUGGGCGAAAGCCUGAUGGAGCAACGCCGCGUGCAGGAUGAAGGCCUUCGGGUUGUAAACUGCUUUUAUAAGCGAGAAAUAUGAUGGUAACUUAUGAAUAAGGAUCGGCUAACUACGUGCCAGCAGCCGCGGUCAUACGUAGGAUCCGAGCAUUAUCCGGAGUGACUGGGUGUAAAGAGUUGCGUAGGUUGCAUAAUAAGUAGCUAGUGAAAUCUGGUGGCUCAACCAUUCAGACUAUUAGCUAAACUGUUAAGCUCGAGACCGUUAGGGGUAACUGGAAUUUCUAGUGUAGGAGUGAAAUCCGUAGAUAUUAGAAGGAACACCAAUAGCGUAGGCAGGUUGCUGGGACGGUUCUGACACUAAGGCACGAAAGCGUAGGGAGCAAACGGGAUUAGAUACCCCUGUAGUC
rnacentral:rRNA from 1 species